CUACGGGUGGCUGCAGUGGGGAAUUUUGCGCAAUGGGGGAAACCCUGACGCAGCAAUACCGCGUGAGUGAAGAAGGCCUUUGGGUCGUAAAGCUCUUUUCUUGGGGAAGAUAGUGACGGUACCCAAGGAAUAAGCACCGGCUAACUCCGUGCCAGCAGCCGCGGUAAUACGGAGGGUGCAAGCGUUGUUCGGAUUUACUGGGCGUAAAGGGCACGUAGGCGGCACAGCAAGUUAAGGGUGGAAUCCCGGGGCUCAACUCCGGAACUGCUCUUAAAACUGCUGAGCUAGAGAUAGUCAGAGGCGGGUGGAAUUCCAGGUGUAGAGGUGAAACUCGUAGAUAUCUGGAGGAACACCGGUGGCGAAGGCGGCCCGCUGGGGCUAUUCUGACGCUAAGGUGCGAAAGCGUGGGGAGCAAACGGGAUUAGAUACCCGGGUAGUC
rnacentral:rRNA from 1 species